UUGGUUCCCAGGUCUACAAAAGGAGGGGCUGCAGGCCUCCAGCUGUGAUUGGUUCCCAGGUCUACAAAAGGAGGGGCUGCAGGCCUCCAGCUGUGAUUGGUCCCCAGGUCUACAAAAGGAGGGGCUGCAGGCCUCCAGCUGUGAUUGGUUCCCAGGUCUACAAAAGGAGGGGCUGCAGGCUCCAGCUGUGAUUGGUUCCCAGGUCUACAAAAGGAGGGGCUGCAGGCCUCCAACUGUGAUUGGUUCCCAGGUCUACAAAAGGAGGGGCUGCAGGCCUCCAGCUGCCCAUCUAAUUGAAUUAUCAAAUUAGUCUCAUAUAAAUUCCCAACCAUGUGGACCGACUUAAAAUGAACAUGUUUGCCAACACUUACGCUCACCAGCAGCCGACGCUUCAGCCUAAUGCAUCAAACUAUUAGCCCUGGGACAUUAUCAACAUGAACCUUUCACUUAUUCAUGGUCUUUUAUCAACAUUAUCUAUAUGGGAAUAAUAGGCUUUUUAUCUACAUAAAUGUAGUCUAUUUCCGAACAAAAAAAAGUAGCUAUUUUCAUUUCACUAUAGAAAUAAAAUGUAAAAAUAUACAGGCUGAGGAUCUGGCUUUUGCAAGCGCCAACAUACCUCUGGAAAAAGUUGACAAUCCCAAAAUGCAGGCAUUCAUUAACAAACAUGUAAAAAUGGUAAAAGACUAAAUAACUCCAUAAUAACAGACAAAUCCACUGACACACAAGACCAAUGUGUUCUUCUUAUGUUGUAGGACAGCUAGGCGAAGAUGAUGUUCUAGCUGACACAGUGUAUUGACAGCUAGGCGAAGAUGAUGUUCUAGCUGACACAGUGUAUUGACAGCUAGGUGAAGAUGUUGUUCUAGCUGACACAGUGUAUUGACAGCUAGGUGAAGAUGAUGUUCUAGCUGACACAGUGUAUUGACAGCUAGGUGAAGAUGAUGUUCUAGCUGACACAGUGUAUUGACAGCUAGGUGAAGAUGUUGUUCUAGCUGACACAGUGUAUUGACAGCUAGGUGAAGAUGAUGUUCUAGCUGACACAGUGUAUUGACAGCUAGGCGAAGAUGUUGUUCUAGCUGACACAGUGUAUUGACAGCUAGGCGAAGAUGUUGUUCUAGCUGACACAGUGUAUUGACAGCUAGGUGAAGAUGUUGUUCUAGCUGACACAGUGUAUUGACAGCUAGGUGAAGAUGUUGUUCUAGCUGACACAGUGUAUUGACAGCUAGGCGAAGAUGUUCUAGCUGACACAGUGUAUUGACAGCUAGGCGAAGAUGAUGUUCUAGCUGACACAGUGUAUUGACAGCUAGGUGAAGAUGAUGUUCUAGCUGACACAGUGUAUUGACAGCUAGGUGAAGAUGUUGUUCUAGCUGACACAGUGUAUUGACAGCUAGGUGAAGAUGUUGUUCUAGCUGACACAGUGUAUUGACAGCUAGGCGAAGAUGUUGUUCUAGCUGACACAGUGUAUUGACAGCUAGGUGAAGAUGAUGUUCUAGCUGACACAGUGUAUUGACAGCUAGGUGAAGAUGUUGUUCUAGCUGACACAGUGUAUUGACAGCUAGGUGAAGAUGUUGUUCUAGCUGACACAGUGUAUUGACAGCUAGGUGAAGAUGUUGUUCUAGCUGACACAGUGUAUUGACAGCUAGGUGAAGAUGAUGUUCUAGCUGACACAGUGUAUUGACAGCUAGGUGAAGAUGUUGUUCUAGCUGACACAGUGUAUUGACAGCUAGGUGAAGAUGUUGUUCUAGCUGACACAGUGUAUUGACAGCUAGGCGAAGAUGUUCUAGCUGACACAGUGUAUUGACAGCUAGGUGAAGAUGUUGUUCUAGCUGACAGUGUAUUGACAGCUAGGUGAAGAUGAUGUUCUAGCUGACACAGUGUAUUGACAGCUAGGUGAAGACGUUAGAUGUUGUCCUGGCUGACACAGUGUUUUUAGAUGACAGUGAACUAUACAAUAGUGUCAGAAUAUCAUUCCUGGGCUUUGUGGAGGCAGAGAAACGUAUUUCUCCAAAUACUGCGAUCUUAAUAGUUAGAGAAGUAUACAGUCAUGGCCAAACGUUUUGAGAAUGACAAAUAUUAAUUUUCAAAGUCUGCUGCCUCAGUUUGUAUGAUGGGAAUUUGCAUACAGUCUAGAAUGUUAUGAAGAGUGAUCAGAUGAAUUAUAAUGAAUUGAAAGUCCCUCUUUGCCAUGCAAUUAACUGAUUCCCCAAAAACAUUUCCACUGCAUUUCAGCCCUGCCACAAAAGGACCAGCUGACAUCAUGUCAGUGAUUCUCUCGUUAACACAGGUGUGAGUGUUGAUGAGGACAAGGCUGGAGAUCACUCUGUCAUGCUGAUUGAGUUUGAAUAACAGACUGGAAGCUUCAAAAGGAAGGUGGUGCAUGGAAUCAUUGUUCUUCCUCUGUCAACCAUG